UAGUGGCGGACGGGUGAGUAACGCGUGGGAAUCUGCCCUCAGGAGGGGGAUAACGGUUGGAAACGACCGCUAAUACCCCAUAUGCCGAGAGGUGAAACGAAAUUCGCCUGAGGAUGAGCCCGCGUCUGAUUAGCUAGUUGGUGGGGUAAGGGCCUACCAAGGCAUCGAUCAGUAGCUGGUCUGAGAGGAUGGUCAGCCACACUGGGACUGAGACACGGCCCAGACUCCUACGGGAGGCAGCAGUGGGGAAUUUUCCGCAAUGGGCGCAAGCCUGACGGAGCAACGCCGCGUGAGGGAUGAAGGCCUCUGGGCUGUAAACCUCUUUUCUCAAGGAAGAAGAACUGACGGUACUUGAGGAAUAAGCCACGGCUAA
rnacentral:rRNA from 1 species